rnacentral:rRNA from 1 species
AACGAACGCUGGCGGCAUGCCUAACACAUGCAAGUCGAACGAGACCUUCGGGUCUAGUGGCGCACGAGUGCGUAACGCGUGGGAACCUGCCCUUAGGUUCGGAAUAACUCCCCGAAAGGGGUGCUAAUACCGGAUAAUGUCUUCGGACCAAAGAUUUAUCGCCUUUGGAUGGGCCCGCGUUGGAUUAGCUAGUUGGUAGGGUAAAAGCCUACCAAGGCGACGAUCCAUAGCUGGUCUGAGAGGAUGAUCAGCCACACUGGGACUGAAACACGGCCCAGACUCCUACGGGAGGCAGCAGUGGGGAAUAUUGGACAAUGGGCGAAAGCCUGAUCCAGCAAUGCCGCGUGAGUGAUGAAGGCCGUAGGGUUGUAAAGCUCUUUUACCCGGGAUGAUAAUGACGGUACCGGGAGAAUAAGCUCCGGCUAACUCCGUG